rnacentral:misc_RNA from 1 species
AAAAAUAAUCAAUAUCCAACUUAUAGACUGAUCGACUCGAUUGCAGCUGGUCCUAUUGAAAUGAGAAAAAAUGCUAGCAGGUAUCGAUUAUCUAAACAGACACAUUGACAUCUAUUAAAUUAUCUGGCAAAAUUAAUUAAUUAGUUUAAUCAAAGAAGCAAGAAUAAACUAUAUUACUGCUAAUAUAUUAAUUAUUUAUGUGCAUAAUUAAAUAUUUAUAAAAUGCAUGAACAUGCUAGAUAUAUAAUUAAUAUUCAAAUUAUAAAAAUAAUCAAUAUCUAACUCAUAGAC